rnacentral:sRNA from 1 species
CGUCGCUGGAAAUUUGGCCUAACUCGGUCACUUCCAUGCGACGCUCCAUUCAAUAAACUUGUAUUCAUAUUUUAUCAUCAUUUUUCUUAUUUGGAUUGCAGGUAUGUUGCUCUCUAUUUUUUUCUAUUGUUUCAAAGUUCAUAAAAGUUUGAUUUUAAGAAAUUAAUAAUUUGCUUAAACGUUUAUUUUUUAAUUUUGGUAUUUAAAUAAGUUAUGAUUUUAAAGGAAUAAGUUUCUAAAUUUGAGCUUUGUCGUUUAUGAAAUAAUUCAUUAUUAACCUAUCGGCUAGGAGACAGAAUAAUUGCUUUUUCAUCCGUCUAAGUUUUGCCGUUAACACAUGUAUUUUUUUUAGUAAAUAGUUUUAUUUUUGAUAGUCGUAGAAUAGACAAGUAAAUGAAAUACUUUUGUUUGUUGCAUUGAUGCGUGGUAAAUUAGAAUUUGAAUUUAGCGCCAUUUCUAAGUUAAAGAGACUCUUUAGUAAAAGGAGGUAAUUUAAAGUUAGUUCGGGAAACAAAAUACGGGAAUCAUGUUUAGAUCAAAUUGUAAGUGCUCAGUAAAUAUUGACAGUUAAAUUAGAUAAAAUUAUACCAUAAAGGGUUUCAAAUCAUUCAUCGUUUAAGAUCUUUGUAAUCGCUUUUGGUUCUAAUUCACAUACGCGUUGUCAAGUUUUAGUUCGAAUUUCCUCGACGUUAAGUCUUUGUUUAUAUUCUUUAUAUUGUUUACAUUGGAUUUUAUUAUUUUUCAUAUUGUUAAUUAAUAAUACAGAGGUUAUAUUUUUAUUACAUCUUGUUUAUACCUCUGUUACGGUCACCAGAGUUUUAAAAUAUUAUACGUAAAUGAACUUAAACUUUUGUAACUGGUGACUGUUGUUUAUAGCACUUCCAUGCGACGCUCCAUUCAAUAAACUUGUAUUCAU